GGGGAAUAUUGGACAAUGGGCGCAAGCCUGAUCCAGCCAUGCCGCGUGAGUGAUGAAGGCCUUAGGGUUGUAAAGCUCUUUCACCGGUGAAGAUAAUGACGGUAACCGGAGAAGAAGCCCCGGCUAACUUCGUGCCAGCAGCCGCGGUAAUACGAAGGGGGCUAGCGUUGUUCGGAAUUACUGGGCGUAAAGCGCACGUAGGCUGAUAUUUAAGUCAGGGGUGAAAUCCCGGGGCUCAACCCCGGAACUGCCUUUGAUACUGGGUAUCUUGAGUAUGGAAGAGGUCAGUGGAAUUGCGAGUGUAGAGGUGAAAUUCGUAGAUAUUCGCAGGAACACCAGUGGCGAAGGCGGCUGACUGGUCCAUUACUGACGCUGAGGUGCGAAAGCGUGGGGAGCAAAC
rnacentral:rRNA from 1 species